CACUAGAUGGCUGAAAGCAAGUACUG
rnacentral:tRNA from 1 species